UAACACGUAUCCAACCUGCCGUCUACUCUUGGACAGCCUUCUGAAAGGAAGAUUAAUACAAGAUGGCAUCAUGGGUUCACAUGUUCACAUGAUUAAAGGUAUUCCGGUAGACGAUGGGGAUGCGUUCCAUUAGAUAGUAGGCGGGGUAACGGCCCACCUAGUCUUCGAUGGAUAGGGGUUCUGAGAGGAAGGUCCCCCACAUUGGAACUGAGACACGGUCCAAACUCCUACGGGAGGCAGCAGUGAGGAAUAUUGGUCAAUGGGCGAGAGCCUGAACCAGCCAAGUAGCGUGAAGGAUGACUGCCCUAUGGGUUGUAAACUACUUUUAUAAAGGAAUAAAGUCGGGUAUGCAUACCCGUUUGCAUGUACUUUAUGAAUAAGGAUCGGCUAACUCCGUGCCAGCAGCCGCGGUAAUACGGAGGAUCCGAGCGUUAUCCGGAUUUAUUGGGUUUAAAGGGAGCGUAGAUGGAUGUUUAAGUCAGUUGUGAAAGUUUGCGGCUCAACCGUAAAAUUGCAGUUGAUACUGGAUAUCUUGAGUGCAGUUGAGGCAGGCGGAAUUCGUGGUGUAGCGGUGAAAUGCUUAGAUAUCACGAAGAACUCCGAUUGCGAAGGCAGCCUGCUAAGCUGCAACUGACAUUGAGGCUCGAAAGUGUGGGUAUCAAACAGGAUUAGAUACCCUGGUAGUCCACACGGUAAACGAUGA
rnacentral:rRNA from 1 species